UCUCUGGCUAGACAGCUCUGCU
rnacentral:miRNA from 1 species